AACGCAUCUUGCACCCCUUGGUAUUCCUGGGGGUAUGCCUGUUUGAGUGUCAUUUUCUUAUUCUCAAUCCAAGUAGCAUCAUACUUUGGGUUGGAGGAUGAAGGUUGCUGGAAUUCAUUCAGCUCCUUUGAAAUGUAUUAGUAGGAAGUUGACGAGAACUGGCUUACAGUUUGAUAAGAAUCUAGCUGUUUGCCGUGAAGUCAUUGUGUCCUGCUCUUAUGUCUCUGGUGAGACUGCUCAGCUUCUUGAGCAAAAAUUCUUGUGACUUGACCUCAAAUCAGGUAGGAUUACCCGCUGAACUUAA
rnacentral:misc_RNA from 1 species